GGGGAUGUAGCUCAGAUGGUAGAGCGCUCGCUUUGCAUGCAAGAGUUACGGGGAUUGAUACGUCGCAUUUCCA
rnacentral:tRNA from 1 species